UACUUCCUUGAUUUAUUAAUGAAGAGGUUGGUGAGUUGAAGCUGCAGCGUUGUGUGUGUUUGACCAACCAGGGACGGUCAUCCCUGCAAACCCCACCUCAGAAGUUCCUAUACUUUCAGAAAGCACUACCCUCCAGUCAGGGACUUUUUUGGGGGGGUAAAAUAAUGUCCCUGGAACUUCAUUUAAUCCCUGGUCCCUGUGGGCUAAACACAACGAGUUUCUCAGAAGGUUCCUGGUCCCUGCGGAAAGUCCCUGCAGCCUAAAAGAGCCUAAGACAUGGAUCAUAAAGGCUGAAAUACAUAAUACUAAUGAGGACUGAAACACUACCGCUGCAGAUUGAACUAGUUAUUAAAUAAACUGCAGUUCCAUGCAGUCACCCUUCAUUACCCAUUUUAUUCAGUCACCAUUAUGUUAGACAGAUACGUAGUUGUCUUCCUUACCCACUGGCUACAGUCUUCUUAUAGUGAGUUGCCAGUGGGUCAGCAAAUAAUUUCAAAGAAUGUGAACAGGCUUAACAUUUCUAAUAUAUGUUGAUACGUUUUUGCAUGUUUUCCUAUGUAAUAAUGAACAUUUGUUGCCUCUUCAAAUCCACUGGGGGAAAAAACAUUUAGUCAAAUGUUACAUUCCACUGUUGAACAGUUUGAGAUCCACCAGUUUACAGUAUGAGUAAAAGUUACACAGUCAUUUUGUUAACUGCACUACAAUGUACAUAGCUUUCUUUUGUCCAUGUCAUUGUAAAAUGGGCACAUUGUUGUUAGUGAUAUUUAUAACUUAGGGUGCUUUAACACUGGCAAACUUGUCUUCAGCCCAACCUACGCUGACUCAAUGAAAUCACUCGGGUAUUAAUCAGAUUUUACACAAAUCCCUUACUCACUCUAGAGACACAAAGGGCUCUUUAAACAACUUCUUUCACAUCUGCAGUAGUACUCAUCAACACCUGGAAACGCAGUUUGAUGUGCAAAAUCAGGGGACUCCCCUUUAAACCAUCUUUGUUACCACAGGUAGGAAAUACAUGCAUGUGGAUGUCUUCAUGACAUCAUUAAUGACAUUUUUAGUGAAGUGGAAAAAAAAAGGUGCUUGUUUUCACGCUUCUUUGCAGCCCACACAGGUGGUCGGGCUCCACUCGGUCAUGGUUACUUCUCUCUGCCAUUAUUCUCCAUUUCCGCCUGUCAUGCAUGUCAUGCAGCUUCAUAAAACAGGCACCAACCUUGUUUCCAGGCAACAGUGGUCCACAGCUGCUCUUUGAUGAGAAAAGCAUGACCACAGAUUGGAAAACCCGUUGGAGCAGCAGGCUUAGGACAAAGGGGGACAGUCAAAUUCAAGCUGAAUAUUCAAAAAAAAGCAAACCCAGUGUGAAAGUGGCCAAAGAAAUGUUGGCUCGAAGUGGUAGCUUAAAAUGCUGACGUCUUGUGCCAGCAUACGGCUCUGGUCAUUUGUGUGGCCACCACUCAGUGUGCUGUAUAUGUUACUAAUGUCAAACUAUAACAGUGUUACAUUUACUCAGCGAAUGGAAAAGUAGAAACCCUGUCACUCCAGAAGAAGUGGGCCCUCUCUUUCAACUAGAUAUACAGUAUGUCACUACAUAUCUGACCUGUCACCAUACACCCCUUAUACCAAAUCAGUCCCCUUUAAUAACAAUAGGGUGAACCUGAAUGCAGUGUCCAUUAAAAGAAGGCAUCCACUCACCGUGUCAGCUUUAACUGCAGGAAGUCACUGCCAGCACAUGUAGCAGCUAGCAACAGGGCCAGAAAUGGUCCGACACAGCACUCGGUCUCUCUUUUUCUGGUCACUGAGUGUGUGAAAUCUUCCUGAAAUGAACUGGCUUUAAAAGCUCUGAACACCCACUCAGGUUUUUCUUUCAGUUAAUCCGGCUGAUUAGACCUCUUCCCAGGACUGUGAGUGUGUAUAGACUGAUUGAUUGAUUGAUUGAUUGAUUGAUUAACAACUUUGUGAGUCUCCUGCUAGCUUUGUUGCACCUGUUAGGGCAGGACAAAUGACACCUUCAUCAUUCUUAUUUGUAGGUGAACAUUUGUGACGUAAUAAAUUCCCAUCAAAGCUCUGGCCCACCUUCACCCUGAGCUGAGGUCUAAUCAGCCAGAAUAACGGUUGUUUUCCAUUCUUUCACAAUCCUCGGUGGCUCAGAUCGAGUUCUCUCAUGGCUGGUUAAAUAGACAGAAGCCAUCUAAAUUCUCUAUACUACAUAUUAAUAGUAUGCAAGUUUAGCCAUCCUACAUGUUGAAUCAUAUACACUAACUCUAUUUAAUAUUCACUACAUAUUUGGACAUUUAACCAGUUGGGAUACAGCUUUUGUUUGUGCAUGCAGAUUAGAGAAGAGCAGUGAGGUUAUUCUGCAUCCUGUUCUGACAUAAUGAAUGUCAUCUCGUACAUUUACUCUCCAUAUAUGACGUGAAUGUCUUAUGUCAACUUAAGUCACCAUUAUUGAUAUGAGUUCAUGUUGCAUUAGUACACUUUCUGACAAGUAAAAUCUAUUUAUUUUUUUCUCCCCCAAAUUAGCUAACUUGGUUACAUUAACACAUGAUGUACCCUUGAGCAUGGCACUUAACUGCUCGACAACAGAUCAGUCUGAAUGUAUAAAUGUGAAUCAGAGCAGUAUACACUUUUCCAAAGUAUAUUGUGCCAUUGACUAAACUAUAAAUGAAAAGGAGGGUCACACAUACUGUAUUUGCAGGACACUGACAGUUAGCUACAUGUUGUGUUACUUAUAGGCCCAUUUGCACAUAUAGUUCAAUUGUUGAUGCUUGGUUAUAUUUUGUUUUUUAUUGUAAUUUAUUGUUAAUCUGUGUAUAUUGUGUUUUUAUAAUUAUUGAUGAUUUUAUUGCUACUUAACACUGUAACCAUAAGCAAGUACUGGAAUAUAGAUACUCUCCAUCCCUCUCAAUGUCUUUCAUCCUCAGGUUCUUUAAUAAAAAGUAAACCCCACAUUU